CACACCACAGUACAUCUUUAGUAGAAGGUUAACAUAUCUAGUCACCAAUGAGAUCAACUCUAGUGGAAUCAUUGGAGUAUGAAUCAUCCUUCCUUAACUCAUUGGCUCUGGAAUGAUUUCCAAAGAGCCACCACCAGCAAAGUUGACCGAACCAGAAUCUUCUAAAACAGCAUCAUUUGGAGUAUUUUAUUUAUAACAAAAUUAAGCUGGCCGAGUUGUCACUGGAUGGGGGCAAU
rnacentral:lncRNA from 1 species